rnacentral:rRNA from 1 species
AGAGUUUGAUCAUGGCUCAGGACGAACGCUGGCGGCGUGCUUAACACAUGCAAGUCGAGCGGAAAGGCCCUUCGGGGUACUCGAGCGGCGAACGGGUGAGUAACACGUGAGCAACCUGCCCCUUGCUUUGGGAUAACCCUCGGAAACGGGGGCUAAUACCGAAUGGUCACUGCUGGAUGCAUGUCUGGUGGUGGAAAGUUUUUCGGCUGGGGAUGGGCUCGCGGCCUAUCAGCUUGUUGGUGGGAUAAUGGCCUACCAAAGCGACGACGAAUAGCCGGCCUGAGAGGGCGACCGGCCACACUGGGACUGAGACACGGCCCAGACUCCUACGGAAGGCAACAGUGAAGAAUAUUGCACAAUGGGCGAAAGCCUGAUGCAGCGACGCCGCAUGAGGGAAGACGGCCUUCGGGUUGUAAACCUCUUUCAGCUCCGACGAAGCGCAAGUGACGAUAAAAGCAGAAGAAGCGCCGGCCAACUACGUGCCAGCAGCCGCGGUAAGACGUAGGGCGCGAGCGUUGUCCGGAUUUAUUGGGCGUAAAGAGCUCGUAGGCGGCUUGUUGCGUCGACUGUGAAAACCCACGGCUCAACCGUGUGGUCUGCAGUCGAUACGGGCAGGCUAGAGUUCGGUAGGGGAGACUGGAAUUCCUGGUGUAGCGGUGAAAUGCGCAGAUAUCAGGAGGAACACCGGUGGCGAAGGCGGGUCUCUGGGCCGAUACUGACGCUGAGGAGCGAAAGCGUGGGGAGCGAACAGGAUUAGAUACCCUAGUAGUCC